UUUGUCAGGAUUGUGAUUUAAAUAUGGCUGUAGAGAGUAAGAAUAUGAUUUUUUUUUUCAUUAUGAAAUUAGUGCUAUAAUUGAAUGCUGAAAUCCAUUUCUGUACAAUCAUUUUGUUUAAUGUUUUCAUGUUCUCACAUGUUUCAUUUAAUAAGUAUUUUUGUAGAAAAACCUAGAUUUUGGUGUAGUUCCCAUUUUGAUAUGUUUGCCGUGUUCAUUUUUUUUAUACAAGUUGUUUUGAUUUUUUUUAACUGUCAAGUUUCAUUUAAUUUUUAUCAUGGAGGUGUUCCUCAGAUGUAAUUUUCAGAUGAUAUUGUUUAUGUUGAAACAGGCGCUAAAUUAAAUGUCUGUCAAAAUAUAUGUUUGAACUUUUGUGAAACUGUUAUCCUUUUUCAAAUACUGUGAAUUCUCACAUACAAAAUGUUCAUUCUGCAGGUUUGAACUUCUGUGUUUACCUGGUUACGUUAAUAUACAAGUUGUUAUUUACAAUGUAAUGUCUGUGUAUUACAAGUAAAUCAUGUUUUGAUAGUCAAAAAAACUGCAUUUAUAAUUUGCUAUUCUAAAUAGACUGUGCUCAUAAGUAUUGACUGUUUUGUUAUAAGAGUUUGUUCACUUUGUUUGUGAUAGAUUCAGCAUAGACUAUUUUAAAAGUGGUUGUAUCAUGUACAUCAAAUUUAGAUGUACAGUCAGUUCAAAUUUGUUCAUUUCAACUCCUAGCGGAUGAGCAGCUCUCUUUGCUUGAACUCAAUGCCAGGUCCCUGCAAAAUCUCAAUACCAUACAUUCUAACUCUGAUAGCUAGAACUAGAAUGUCUGGAUCACUGGUCUCAACAAGUAUCUUUCAGUGUAGGUUACACUUUUUGGUUCAAACAAGACAGAAAGUGCAAGUCAAACACCCUAUCAGAUUUAUAAUUUAAGGUAUGUUAUAAUUGUCUAUCAUUAAAGGUAGUAUUUGCUAACCGUACUGCUUUUAAUACAUUAAAGAAUGGAAGGAAAGAGAUUUUUCAAAUAUUUUGAAUAGAUUAUUUCUGCAAUACUGUAUUUUCAUAAAAAAAAGUUGUGAAACGCUUCUCACAAGAUGUAAACAUCGGUUUGUCAUACCUGUAAAUUUAUUAACACAACCUGUUUUAAGUUUGCUACAUCAUGCUAUUUUUUUUUAUAUUAAAAUUUAUGAUUUUGUGACAACAACAAUAUGACUACAAGUUAUGGCUGUAAGGGUACAUUAAUUUUGGGUUGAAACUGGUAUAAGCCACAUUGUAAAAUCAGUAAGUGUCAGAAUAUUUCCGUUUUAAUUUAUAAUAAGUACAGUAUAAUCUCUCCAUAGCGGCCCUCUCUUAAGCAAAAACCUCUUUAUAACAUCAGAAUUUCCCUAAGCUGAAAUAUACUAUCAAAUUUACCUCUCCAGAACAACAACCUCAACAUAACAGUCAAUAUUUGUAUCUCCCAAAGGGUGUUGCUCUACAGAGGUUGAACUGUAAAGGUGUUUACAUUAGGUAUUAAUGCUGACUGAUGCUUUAUGGGUAAAAUUGAUCCAGUUACUUAAUGAAAACUGAUGAGCCACAAAUAUCGCGAACUACCCAUCUCUCAAACAAAUCUCCAUGGGCCUGUUGAGUUUAUGCAAAUGAAGUUGGACUGUAUAUUGUAUAAAACUUUCUCUAUUAGAGAAGCCACAGUAAUACAGUCUGUGAUGUGACUUUGUCUUGCAGAGUAUAAUGAUUUGGCCUGGUUCCCAUAAUACACUCACUUAUGAUACAUAGUGACAGGGGAGGGAAUCCAGACUAAUGUUGAUUUUAACAAGAUGUUUGCUGAUAUUUGUCUGUUUUGGGUCCUAUACUAUUAUUUACCAAAUAUUUUGAAAUCUCUGGUUGCCUAGCAACAGCCAUAACUUGAUGAUACUCAGAAGUUGGAAAUAUUCAACUUUAAAUUGUAAUCAAAAUUAUACUUGAUAUUUCUCUAUAUAAAUUAAUGGGUUGUAGAGGUGUAGAAACGUGCAUUUUCCUAUAUAUUUUGUGUUUAUUCACAGAAAACAAUAUAUAUUAUUGUUUAUGUCAGUAUUAUCAAAGAAUAUGCGAGGUAACAGCUUAUUUUUACAAAACUAACUACUUUUGCCUUCAAUGUUUUAGCAAGUUUUUUUUUUUUCAAUGUAUAUGAUAACAUUUGAAAAACUUUAAAAGUUGAGAUACACAGUAGAAACAUGAUGUGGAAAUAUUAGGUUGUAUAAAAACAUUAUUUAGCACAUUGAUUACCAUCCGUGUUAACUCUAGUGUCUUGUUCAGGUAGAGUCGCACCAUGAGAAAACCAACAUAGUGCAUUUGCGACCAGCAUGGAUCCAGACCAGCCUGUGCAUUCGCGCAGUCAGGUCAGGAUCCAUGCUAUUCGCUAAUGGAUUCUCUAAUUGCAAUAGGCUUUGAAAGCGAACAGCAUGGAUCCUGAACAGACUGCGCGAAUGCGCAGGCUGGUCUGGAUCAGUGCUGGUUGAAAACGCACUGUGUUGGUUUUCUCAUGGUGCGGCUCAGGUAAAUGAUACCAUGUCAGAUUUGUGCAUUGUGGAAAUACCAUACCUACUGAACUAAAGUUUGUUUAUGUAAUUCUCACUUUGAUAUAAGAAAUUUAUGUCAUGUGUGAACUGGUUAAAAAGUUCAGCAACUGAGUGUUUUCCUGAAACUGAUAAUCUAGACAAAAAAUAAAAAUCAGUUGGAAAUAAAAUCAAGGAAAAGUGUUUAAUACCAAAGGAUUAAUAGGUUAUAAAGCAUGUUUCAAUACAUGUAAGGAAAUUUCAUUUCAAACUUCAGCUAAGAAAAUUCUUGUACAAAAUUUUCAUUAGAAUUUGUGCAUUAUUCAAGAGAACUUGGUUUCUCUUGAUUUGACAAUCAUAUGAUAAAGUGCCUUCUGAUUUUUACAUUACGUUUUUGUCAUUAUGUUGUCUGCCAAUUUAUGAUAGAAUAAGAUAAAGGCUUCACACAAUAUAUUUGCCAACUACAAGGGUAGAAUUUGUAUGAAAACAGGGUUGAAACUAUCAGUAUCAUUAAAGUUGUAUUUGUAAACCAUAGUAUUCCAAUAUAUCCCAGCCAAAAGUUAGCAAAUUAAAAACAUAAUAACUAAAUCAUGGAAAUUAAUCUUUGUUUUCAAGAGAUAGUUACAGGCUAUGCAUAUGUCAGAAUAUCUAAAAUGAACACAUGAAGCGAUAGAUUGAAAUGCAGCCUUUAACUGUAGUAAAAACAAUCUGAUAAAGCUGUAUCCCGGAUAUUUAUCUCCUUAUCAAGUGAUAAAUUGUUGAUUUUGGCAUGUUUAUGAAAAUAUAAGCCCCAUCCAAGAGCAGUUUAUAGCUUUGCUUAGCUCUUCGUUGUAACUAAUUAAAUAACAGAUAGAAAAUAUCAAUACCUGGUCAAAAUAUUUGCUUCCUGAAUUAGUUGUUAUAUGACAACUGUGUAAUUUUAUAUAUCUAAACUACAUGUGCAUUAACUGGUUAUUUUUAGAAAUGUUUUAAAUCUAGUAAAUACACCAAUCGCUGAUGGGCACAAGAGAGUGAGCAAAGUACUCUAGUUGACUUUGAGAUAGCUUGAAGAUUUAGGUAAAUCAGUUUGAGAUCUCAGAUUCAACUGUAUUUCAAUUUUUAUGCCCCCCUUCGAAGUAGGAGGGGUAUAUUGUUUUGCAGAUGUCUGUUGGUCGGUCUGUAUGUAUACCAAUCUGUUUCCGGAUGAUAACUCAAGAAAGCUUAGGCCUUGGAUCAUGAAAGUUGAUAGGAAUGUUGGUCAUCACCUGCAGGUGACCCCUAUUGAUUUUGAGGUCAGUAUGUCAAAGGUCAAGGUCACAGUGACCCGGAACAGUUUAACGGUUUCUGGAUGAUAACUCAAGAUUGCUUGGGCCUAGGAUCGUGAAAGUUGAUAGGUUGGUUGGUCAUGACCAGUAGAUGACCCCUAUUGAUUUUGAGGUCAAUAGGUCAAAGGUCAAGGUCACGGUGACCAGGAACAGUAAAACGGUUUCCAGGCGUUAACUCAAAAACGCUUGGGCCUAGGGUCAGGAAAAUUGAUAGGGAGAUUGAUCAUGACCAGCAGAUGACCCCUUUUGAUUUUGAGGUCAUUUGGUCAAAGUUCAAGAUCAGUUGGCCAUAAAUGGUUAAACAGUUUCUGGACGAUAACUUGAGAACGCUUGGGCCAAGGGUCGUGAAAGAUGAUAGAGAGGUUCAUCAUGACCAGCAGAUGACCCCUAUUGAUUUUAAGGUCAGUAGGUCAAGGUUACAAUGACCUGGAACAUUUAAACCGUUUCCAGACAAUAACUUAACACUUGGGCCUAGGAUCAUGAAACGUGAUAGGGAGGUUGGUCAUGACCUGUAGAUGGCCCCUAUAGAUUUUGAGGUCUGUCCGCUAAAGGUCAAGGUCACAUUGACCCGAAACAAUUAAACCCUUUCCGGACGAUACCUUGAGAACGCUUGGGCCUAGGAUCACUAAACUUUAUAGGGAGGUUGAUCAUGACCAGCAGAUGACACCUGUUGAUUUUGAGGUCAUUAGGUCAAAGUUCAAUGUCACAUUGAACCAGAACAGUAGAUUUUUUGUUUACAGUGAGCAAAUAAUUUCUGUUCCUUGUGCAGUUACUGAAUGCAUCAAGGGGGGCAUUUCGUGUUCAACGAGCUCUUGUUUUUACUUAAUAAUAUAGUUGUUUUUUUUUUAUUAAAAAUCAGGUUUAUGGUUCAAGUCAGUGAAGGAAGCACGUCUUUAAUUUGGUAUUACUGAGCUAUGCAAUAGUGUUUUACUCACAUGGAUUGUUAUAUACUCAUUUUAUGUGAUUUUAAGAAAAGUUAUUUUAAUACUCUGUAUAAUUUUGUUGUAAUACAUUAAAUAUUUUAAACAUGA